rnacentral:rRNA from 1 species
UGCAAGUCGAGCGAACAGAAAAGGAGCUUGCUCCUUUGACGUUAGCGGCGGACGGGUGAGUAACACGUGGGCAACCUACCCUAUAGUUUGGGAUAACUCCGGGAAACCGGGGCUAAUACCGAAUAAUCUCUUUUGCUUCAUGGUAAAAGACUGAAAGACGGUUUCGGCUGUCGCUAUAGGAUGGGCCCGCGGCGCAUUAGCUAGUUGGUGAGGUAACGGCUCACCAAGGCGACGAUGCGUAGCCGACCUGAGAGGGUGAUCGGCCACACUGGGACUGAGACACGGCCCAGACUCCUACGGGAGGCAGCAGUAGGGAAUCUUCCACAAUGGGCGAAAGCCUGAUGGAGCAACGCCGCGUGAGUGAAGAAGGUUUUCGGAUCGUAAAACUCUGUUGUAAGGGAAGAACAAGUACAGUAGUAACUGGCUGUACCUUGACGGUACCUUAUUAGAAAGCCACGGCUAACUACGUGCCAGCAGCCGCGGUAAUACGUAGGUGGCAAGCGUUGUCCGGAAUUAUUGGGCGUAAAGCGCGCGCAGGCGGUCCUUUAAGUCUGAUGUGAAAGCCCACGGCUCAACCGUGGAGGGUCAUUGGAAACUGGGGGACUUGAGUGCAGAAGAGGAAAGUGGAAUUCCAAGUGUAGCGGUGAAAUGCGUAGAGAUUUGGAGGAACACCAGUGGCGAAGGCGACUUUCUGGUCUGUAACUGACGCUGAGGCGCGAAAGCGUGGGGAG